GUUUGUUCUGUGGGGAGGAGAGAUGGGAGUUAGUGAGUUGUAGAGAAUGGAUCUCAAAUCUGAGUUCAAAGUUUACAGUCCUACUUUGCCGAAAGGUUUUCAGAGCUAGGGGGAAAAGGAGUCCAAUACUUCAAUCCAGGGUGUUUUAGGGGUUCGGUUUGUAGGGCUUGAUUACGGGUUUUGAGAAAACAUUUGGACUUGCUCCACUGACAAAAGGCAGGAGACUGGAGACUGAUUAACAGGGUUCAGCUGACAGCAGGAGGGAACAGAGAGAGAACAGAUUAUUACUGAUCGGAGCAUGGAAAAAUCCACCAUCCAGGAGGUGAAGACAAUCUGGCAACGGUGUGCUGCACAUGCCCACUUGAUGUGGGGAUGCUGUCCAAGUGUGAGGAGAAGAAUUGAGGUCUUUGACUCCGCCCUAAGGCAAACCUGCACUCCCGAGGAAAAAGUAAAAAGCAGUUUUAACAGCCCAGAGUAUGAUACUAUCACCCGCCACCAUGCUUGACAGCUUUACUCCUCCAAGCAUAUCUUUUCUAACAUCUGAAACUCCUUGUAAGCACUGUAAGCAGACUUGUGGGUAAUUUUUGCAGAAUGUUUUUCACAAAGAAGAAAAACAUGUGCAUUAAAAAAUUAAUUAUUGUCACUCAAAUGCUGUCCUAUCUUAACAAUAACAUUUGGCUCAUUAUUCUAAGCUGAGUGGCCACAAAUUACUUGCUUUACUCUCAUAUGACUCAUUUUAAUCUGCAGCAGGCAGCAGUUUUUAAUGAAAGUGCUCUGAAAACGCCACUAAAAACCCCGUUCAGCAUCAGAUAACACACACAGCUGGUUAAUGUAGUGGAGCAUGUCUGAAGAGCCUUAAAACAGAAAUAUGUGUGCAUAUUUAACUUAAGCCCAAUUGAAUGAUGUUUUUGUCUUAAAAACAACACUGAUAUUUUUUGAAGACAGAGAAAAAGUCAAACAUCAAAUUGGUUUCUCUAAUUUGAAGUCAGCAUUGUUACACUAUUAAAUACACUGUGAUCAACACAAGUUUUCUCCUAUUUCUGUGUGACAUGUUUCAGUACUUCAUUAUACACUUUUUGGCUGCAAACUUAAUAUGUCGACUUGUUUUGAUAAACAUGAAAUAUUCUGAAAUAACUGACUCAUAAAAAAACUGUUUUCAGUAUUUUAUAUACAUUCAUCAGAACAGGUGGAAUACAUUAGAAAAUUAUACAGUAUUCAAUUCAAGGCUCUAUAAUAAAUACAUAAACCCUCUGUUUAGGGUUAAGACAAUAUAUGGAAACAACAUUACAUCACCAGAUACUUUAGGUACAUUUGCUAAUGACUGUCUUCAUGGCAUUCCUCAAGGAUUUUGAUCCACAUUGACCUGAUGGCAUCUCACAGUUUGUUAGCUGUACAUUCAUCCAAGUGUGCCUAAUAAAGUGACUCGUGAGUUUAGCAGCAUAAUUAGAUACACUGGACCUGGAAAUAUAUGUGUCCAAUGAACAAUAUCAUGUUAGUGUAAAGCAUUCAUUUGUUUCAACAACUGCAGCUUUUGAGCUUCUUUGGAACCUAGUGUGUCGUACCUCCAUAUCAUUAUUAUCAUUAUUAUUAUUAUUAUCAUUAUUGUAUGUCAUUCUCAGUGUGUUUUCUUUAUAAAUAUUAAUGUCACUCUCAUGUGCAAAAUAAGCAAAUUCGCAAAACAGUUAAGUCAUGUCAAGUCUAGACCUCUCUGCACUGAAUCAUACCUGUUAUUAACCGCUGUCUCUCUUCCACAACAUGUCCUUUAUCCCGUCUUCCUUCUCUCACCCCAACUGGUCGCAGCAGAUGGCCCCGCCCCUCCCUGAGCCUGGUUCUGCCGAAGGUUCCUUCCUGUUAAAAGGGAGUUUUUCCUUCCCACUGUCGCCAAAGUGCUUGUUCAUAGGGGGUCAUAUGAUUGUUGGGUUUUUCUCUGUAUCUAUUAUUGUACGAUCUACUGUGCAAUAUAAAGCGCCUUGAGGCGACUGUUGUUGCGAUUUGACGCUAUAUAAAUAAAAUUGAAUUGAAUUGAAUUGAAUUGAAGUCUAUGUGUUCACAUUUUGGCAUCAGUGCCCUCAAGCUAGUAGUCCCAAAUACACCACUUUAGUGUUGCUAAGUGCCCCACAUGUGUAUCAAUACGCACGUGAAAAUAGUUCUUGACAAAACUUACAUUGCAGUAUAAAUGGCUUGACUGCCUUGGACAGUGUAAGGGUUUUAAAAAAGUGCUUAGACACACUUGUUAUGUGUUUUCAGAGCAUAAAGAAUAACGUGAGACGAAGCUCGUGUUUAGCUGAGAUUUUUGUGGGUGUGGCUUCACUGUGGGCGUGGUCAUUGCAGGUCUAGGUAUUGAGGCAGGACAUCGUUCCAGAACUGCUGAGACUCCUCAGCUUUCGCCUCCCCUGCAGCUCGCUGCCUGGUCCUCGGUGCUGGUUUGGGUGCUUCUUUCUGUUUGUCGCUUCUGUCUGGUGGCGGCUUCUGUCGCUUCUCUUUUAUUUUCUUUGCUGAUUUUGCUUGUUCCUCCUCUUCCUCUUCUUCUUCCUCAUCCUCCCCCUCCUCUUCUUCAUUUUCAUCUCCUUCUUCCUCUUCCUCAAUUCCCUCUUCUUCUGCCUCCUCCUCCUCCUGGUUCUCGUUUCCCCUUUCCUUAUUCUCUUCUUCCCUUUCUUCUUCAUCAUCAGUUUCCUCAUCAUUACCUUUCAUGUCUUUCCUUUCUCCUCUUAGCCUUGUCUGUUUUUGCUGUUCUUCCUCUUCUUCCCCUUCCUCCUCACCUUCCCCCUCCCCCUCCCCCUCCUCC
ensembl:lncRNA